rnacentral:rRNA from 1 species
AACAGGAUUAGAUACCCUGGUAGUCCACGCCGUAAACGAUGUCGACUUGGAGGUUGUGCCCUUGAGGCGUGGCUUCCGGAGCUAACGCGUUAAGUCGACCGCCUGGGGAGUACGGCCGCAAGGUUAAAACUCAAAUGAAUUGACGGGGGCCCGCACAAGCGGUGGAGCAUGUGGUUUAAUUCGAUGCAACGCGAAGAACCUUACCUACUCUUGACAUCCAGAGAGCUUAGCAGAGAUGCUUUGGUGCCUUCGGGAACUCUGAGACAGGUGCUGCAUGGCUGUCGUCAGCUCGUGUUGUGAAAUGUUGGGUUAAGUCCCGCAACGAGCGCAACCCUUAUCCUUUGUUGCCAGCGGUUCGGCCGGGAACUCAAAGGAGACUGCCAGUGAUAAACUGGAGGAAGGUGGGGAUGACGUCAAGUCGUCAUGGCCCUUACGAGUAGGGCUACACACGUGCUACAAUGGCAUAUACAAAGAGAAGCGACCUCGCGAGAGCAAGCGGACCUCAUAAAGUAUGUCGUAGUCCGGAUUGGAGUCUGCAACUCGACUCCAUGAAGUCGGAAUCGCUAGUAAUCGUGGAUCAGAAUGCCACGGUGAAUACGUUCCCGGGCCUUGUACACACCGCCCGUCACACCAUGGGAGUGGGUUGCAAAAGAAGUAGGUAGCUUAACCUUCGGGAGGGCGCUUACCACUUUGUGAUUCAUGACUGGGGUGAAGUCGUAACAAGGUAACC